GAUCUGGUGGUUAUAACAAGGUUGUCCCACCCGGUCCCAUCUCGAACCCGGAAGUGAAAAGCCUUUGUGCCGAUGGUACUUCGUCUUAAGGCGCGGAAGAGUAGGUCGCCGCCAGAUCU
rnacentral:rRNA from 1 species